UACAGAGGUCCCAAGCGUUUGUUCGGAUUCACUGGGCGUAAAGGGUGCGUAGGUGGUGAGGUAAGUCGGAUGUGAAAGCUCGGAGCUCAACUCCGAAAUGGCAUUGGAAACUACCUUGCUCGAGUGUUGCAGGGGGAGAGACUGGAAUUCCUGGUGUAGCGGUGAAAUGCGCAGAUAUCAGGAGGAACACCGGUGGCGGAAGGCGG
rnacentral:rRNA from 1 species